rnacentral:rRNA from 1 species
UACGAAGGGGGCUAGCGUUGUUCGGAUUUACUGGGCGUAAAGCGCACGUAGGCGGUUUGUUAAGUCAGAGGUGAAAUCCUGGAGCUCAACUCCAGAACUGCCUUUGAUACUGGAGAGCUAGAGUCCGGAAGGAGGUGAGUGGAACUGCGAGUGUAGAGGUGAAAUUCGUAGAUAUUCGCAAGAACACCAGUGGCGAAGGCGGCUCACUGGUCCGGUACUGACGCUGAGGUGCGAAAGCGUGGGGAGCAAACAGG